rnacentral:rRNA from 1 species
AUGAUGGGAGGGGCGACGUGUGGGAAUUUAUUGGGGCGCGAGAGGCCUGGACAAGGAAGGGGGGUGAUCUUGAUCUGGAGGCAGCAGAGCGAUGACGAUAGUCGUCAGGAUGGACACCACGCGGGUCAGGGAGGUGUGGUUGCACAUGAGCGUGCUAGCCUGAGAAAAAUUGAUCAAAAACUUAGAUCGGGAUCGAUUUGGAGAGGAACGCAAGUUGUGUGUGAGGAAGAAAACCCAGGCUCUAAUACCAUGUUAGGAAUAUGCAACUUGUAUUCCCAUGUGGACAUAGACUAUAGAAGUACAUGUGUGCCGCAAUAUGCAGAAAGCCCCUUGUAUAAUGGGAAAAAUACAAAGGGUACACAACUAUAA